AACAUUGUUUAGAAGUUGUCUGAUUUAUAGAUUAGGACAAAAGUCAUGUUUGUUUAGUAAUUAUCCCAAAUAUGUACAAGCUUUUCUAUUUGGGAGCCUGAAUACUGUUAUGAUAUUCUUAGGACUAUAGAUAGUAUUGUUGAGUGAAUAUGUUUAACUGCUACUUUGUCUCCUAGCAGCUCCUAACAAGUUAACCGACCUCGAUAUGGAAGCAGAGGAGAGGAAAAGGGAGGAAUCAGAGAAGAAGGCUGCGUUGAGGAAGAGGCAAGAAAGAGGCUUUGAAGGUGAAGGAGGCAGGAACUAAACCUGAAGAAGAGAUGGUAAGAGGGAAGAGGGAAGAAGGCUGCCUUCCUAGACAAUGAGAAGAGAGCUUCUCAUCAAUGCUUCUUUUCAAAUCAAAUGGAGGGAAAGUUGUGCAUCUUUGCUUUAUGCUUUCGUUGUGUUUUGAUGGACCAUUAUCCCGUGUGUGUUCUUUUCGCUUCUCUUAUUUGACUGUAUCCCAUUUCGAUAUUCGCUUUUUCAGUUCGACCAACGACAGAAAUAAAAAAAUUAGGCCUUCCAACCAGUGACGAGAUGCAGAGGAAGGAGUUCAUGGCUAAGCACCCAGAAAUGGCAAAGACCAACUAAGGAUUCAAGCAUAUGCCAUCUGUGAAACUUGCUGGAGCAUAUAGUUUUUUGUAGAUGUCUCCACUAUUAAUUUUUCUGUGAUAUCUCUUUGGAGUAGAAAAUGAGUUGAAGAUUGUCUAAUCAUAGCCUCAAGGUUCUAUGUGAAAGUGAAUCCACCUUUUACUGUA